rnacentral:sRNA from 1 species
AAACCAAGCUCACGGAAAAUGUACUUAUCUGGGUAUGGUGUGGAGCUAGCAAUUAAGAGUACAGAAUACAAAGCACUGGAUGAUACCCAAGUUAAAACUGUGACUAAUACUACUGUAGAGGAUGAGACUGAAACAAAUGAAGUUCAAGGAUUUCUCUUUGGGAAACUAAAAGAAAUAUAUUCAGAUCUUAGAGAUAAUCUGACAGCAUUCCAAAAAUACCUGAUUGAGAGUAACAAACAAAUGACGCCUUUGAAAGUCUGGGAACUACAAGAUCUUAGUUUUCAAGCAGCUUCUCAAAUAAUGUCCGCUCCAGUUUAUGAUGCCAUUAAAUUAAUGAAAGACAUUUCACAGAACUUCCCCAUAAAAGCCAGAUUAAGAAUGAAUAUAUUGAUAUGCCUCUUUCAGUCAACUUUAAAUGUCAAGAAUUUGAGAAGUCGUCAUUUAUAUAAUAAAACAUGAAAUAUAUAUGGGUGUGUAUAAAUGUCAUAUCUGUUUAGCCAUAAUACUUUUAAUUAAUGGCCAUUAUAAAAAUUAUUAGAUCAAAUACAAAUAAGGUAAAAUAACUUUAGUCUUGAUCAGACAGUUGAUUAGCUCUAUUGAUGCUAAGUCAGUAUAACCGUUCAGAGGUUCUGAUGCAAAACUCUGCUGUUAAUCUGUAAUUAAGAAAAAAUUAUAAAAUAUGCUAACAUUGCUUAAUGGCUAAAUUGUAGGCUUGAGCAUAUCUCUAAAACCACUUGUGAGACAAUCUGUAAAUGUUUGUUGAAAUGAAAUAUUUGCUAAAUAAAUGAAAAAUUUGCCUUAUUAAA